UACGUAGGGGGCGAGCGUUGUCCGGAUUCAUUGGGCGUAAAGAGCUCGUAGGCGGUUUGGCAAGUCAGGUGUGAAAUCUCCGGGCUCAACUCGGAGAGGCCACCUGAUACUGCUAUGACUAGAGUCCGGUAGGGGACCAUGGAAUUCCUGGUGUAGCGGUGAGAUGCGCAGAUAUCAGGAAGAACACCUAUGGCGAAGGCAGCUCGCUGGGACGGAACUGACGCUGAGGCGCGAAAGCGUGGGGAGCAAACAGGAUUAGAAACCCUAGUAGU
rnacentral:rRNA from 1 species